UCUCAUGUUAUGUUCUAUCAGAGUAAAUAACUCACGGACACCAGAGAAGCUUAACCAAGUUGACCUCUUCCCAAAGGGUUGUUACAAAUUAUUAAUUAUUAUUAUUAAUUCAGAACAAAAACAUGGCUUCCCCUGUGGUGGUAUUCAUACCCCACUUUGGGUGGAGUCUCCUCCUUAUCGCUAAACAUGACAUCAUUCUUGCUAAGCAGGGAACUGAGUGAUACGAGCCUUUUACCAGUUUCUCCCCUUAUCAGUAGUGUCACAUCAACUGUUUCCCCUGCACUUAGCACCUCCUUGUCUCCUAUGUAAACUAAUGUUCCUAUACUUCUGAGUAUAACAAUGUUCGAAGUUUAACCCUGAAUCCAACACUCCUGUUACGGCCGGUAUGUACUUCCAAAUAAAAGGUACAUGCAACCAAAAAAAUAUAUAUUUUUAAAUUUGACCUUUUUAUUUAACUAGGUAAGUCGGUUAAGAACAAAUUCUUAUUUUCAAUGACGGCCUAGGAACAGUACUGUUCAGGGGCAGAACGACAGAGUUUUACCUUGUCAGCUCGGGGAUUCGAUCUUGCAACCUUUCGGUUACAAGUCCAACGCUCUAACCACUAGGCUACCCCGCCACCCCAACUGGGAAAAAAAAAUGCCUCUCGUUCAGCACCUCCAAUGUAUUGUGCUGUUGUAGACUUCCGACCUGUGCAUAGCAGUAAGGUUAGUGCUAUCCGGGAUCCUUGGGACGUGAGUGAUUUUAUACUGAACAAAACAUAUAAACGCAACAUGUACAAAAAAAAAGCUUAUCUCAAAUUCUGUGCACAAAUUUGUUUACAUCCCCUUUUUCAGUGAGCAUUUCUCCAAUGCCGGGAUGAUCCAUCCACCUGACCAGGUGUGGAAGAAGUUGAUUAAAACACCAUGAUCGUUACACAGGUGCACCUUGUGCUGGGGACAAUAAAAGGCCACUCUAAAAUGUGCAGGGGAGUGGGUGCUGAGGAGUAUUUGUGUCUGUAAUAAAGCCAUUUUGUGGGGAAAAACGCUAGAUGGCUAAUUAGCACAGGUGUUGGGAGCACGCUAGAUGGCUAAUUAGCACAGGUGUUGGGAGCACGCUAGAUGGCUAAUUAGCACAGGUGUUGGGAGCACGCUAGAUGGCUAAUUAGCACAGGUGUUGGGAGCACGCUAGAUGGCUAAUUAGCACAGGUGUUGGGAGCACGCUAGAUGGCUAAUUAGCACAGGUGUUGGGAGCACGCUAGAUGGCUAAUUAGCACAGGUGUUGGGAGCACGCUAGAUGGCUAAUUAGCACAGGUGUUGGGAGCACGCUAGAUGGCUAAUUAGCACAGGUGUUGGGAGCACGCUAGAUGGCUAAUUAGCACAGUUGGCCGCCUCUUCCGUAAACAAGCGAUGUGAUAUGGCUGUAUGG